rnacentral:rRNA from 1 species
CCUACGGGUGACAGCAGUGGGGAAUAUUGCGCAAUGGGCGAAAGCCUGACGCAGCGACGCCGCGUGAGUGAAGAAGUAUUUCGGUAUGUAAAGCUCUGUCAGCAGGGAAGAAAAUGACGGUACCUGACCAAGAAGCCCCGGCUAACUACGUGCCAGCAGCCGCGGUAAUACGUAGGGGGCAAGCGUUAUCCGGAUUUACUGGGUGUAAAGGGAGCGUAGACGGCAGGGCAAGUCUGGAGUGAAAGGCGGGGGCUCAACCCCCGGACUGCUCUGGAAACUGCCAGGCUGGAGUGCAGGAGAGGUAAGUGGAAUUCGUAGUGUAGCGGUGAAAUGCGUAGAUAUUAGGAGGAACACCAGUGGCGAAGGCGGCUUACUGGACUGUAACUGACGUUGAGGCUCGAAAGCGUGGGGAGCAAACAGGAUUAGAUACCCUUGUAGUC